GUUGUUGUUGUUGUUUUUUUAAGUGAAAACGGAAUCUAGCACUGAUUGGCAGACCUCUGAAAAAAAAAAAACCAAAAAACAAUCAGCUCUAAUACCAAGAUUCCAUCCCGCUGUCAGGACAAAACAAAAUGUUAUUUUCUGUUAAAAUGCGUAAAGUGUAUUUCAAAAAA